AGACUCAGGAGGCUUUUUUCGAGCCUCCGGGAGGUCGAAAAUGGCCUCCCCAGGCUCCGGAGGCCCUUCCAGCCUUCUCGAACUUACGCUAAACGAAGAAGAGAAAUUUGUCGUGUCAUGAACGGGGAGGUGAAAGAAAGAUCUGCAAAAGAAGAAGAAGAAGAAGAAGAAGAAGGAGGAGAAGGAGAAGGAGAAGGAGAAGGAGAAGGAGAAGGAGAAGGAGAAGGAGAAGGAGAAGAAGGAGAAGGAGAAGGAGAAGGAGAAGGAGAAGGAGAAGGAGAAGAAGAAGAGGGAAAGUGCUUUUUCUAUUUAAGAUAAUAAAGUUCUACUGACAUAAGGCAAGAUGGAUAAGGGA